AUCGUCCAGAACGUGUGACGCUUCAAAGGGUCUGGAUCAAAACUGCAUUAGAAGGUAUUAAAUUGAAAAUGCUCAGGAAACUAUGCGGGGUCAUACUGUGCUGGUAAUAAAUUUGUAUCAUUGUAGCUAUUCAAUCCCUGCAUGACAUUUGUGGGCAUUAUACUUACUCAAACGUGCUGAGCCUGCCUCCCUGGUAGCAGUCGUCCCAGAUCUUCCCAGGCCCCCCUGGAUGACAGCCCCCCUUGCGAUGACAGCCACGAAACCUGCUAACAUGAUCACCAUCUGAAACACGUCUGUCCAUAUCACCGCUUUCAGACCUCCCUGAGAACCACAAUACAACAUGGAGUCAGGGGAAGGAAUGUACAGUGUGCCGUAACCUCAUGUACACAAAAGAGGUAUGUUCAUGUGUAGGUUCUGUUGUGUUUCCUGGACCCUAGUAAUUGCCCAUAACUGGGUUACAGUUUUCCCUGCACGGUCAUGUCAUGGGGUCAGGAAAAACUCCUGGCCUUGGUCAUGUGUAUUGUCACAGCAGGAAGGUGUUGAUUGCUGAUUGGGAGUGUGUGAGAUGAGCCACUGACCAGGGUACAGUAGAGGAUGCACACCACCCCAGUGGCCACCAGCACUCCCCAGAGGUUCAUCCCUGUGACUGAAACACACAGAAGUUCAGCCCUGUGACUGAAACACCCAGAGGUGCUGGUGAUGCCCAGGCGGUAGAAGAGAGGGACAAAUAUCUCGGCGGUGAUGAUGGACAUGAUGGCAUAGGAGAUGGCAAAGAUCCAGUAGUCCGCCCCAAACCGAUAGGCUUCGGCUGGUGUGCCGAUCACGGUGAUGCCAGACAUGAAGCUGGCAGUGAGGGACAUGGCAACGGGCACCGCUGUCAUCUGACGGCCCCCCAGCAGGAACUCACCGCUGCUGUUGUUCUUGCGGCCCCGGAUGGCUUGGAACAGGCCAAUGCCAGCUGCCCCCAGGACUGUGCCCACAAAUACCACAUAGUCCCACACAGAGAACGAGGCCACGGGGCCCCCUGUGCCCAUCGUCAUGGUUAAUGAGCCCAGAAGAGAUCUCUCAGGCAGGGACGACACUUAUCUCACCUUUACUAUCUAAACACCUUCACCCACUGCUCGUAACUUAGAUCUUACAGUUUGAUUGUUAGGCAAUGUUGCUAAUAUUUAAUUUCCUUUCUUUCCAAUGCACACAAUUUUUCUAUUUAAAAUUCGAUCAAAUGAAUGUUAUAUGAAUUACAGAAUUAUUUAACUUUCACAAAGUUAAAUCAAGAAUGUCAAAAUAAAACACUUUUACUAAAAUUGAGGCCAACCGUUUUUCAGUCUUCCAAGAGAACAAACCAAUAGCACAUAAAUUCUCAGUCAACUAUAUAUGCACCUCAGGAAUGCCAGUAUCAAUACAGAUUAAGUGUUGAAAUUAUUGCAGUUAUUUGACACUUACAAUAGACAUCCACAAUGGAAAGAAAUGUCCUUCUACAAGCAUCCUAGAAUCCCAAGAACUAAUGUCCAAUAUUCCUAUGUGAUAAGUCUUGCUUACUUGUUGAUGUUGAACAACGCUGAAAACUACUAGCAAAGCAUCCUCCCGUUUAGCAAGACUUCCUUGUGUGCUCC